rfam:Aedes albopictus isolate Foshan contig232029, whole genome shotgun sequence.
GUCAACGAUCAUACCAUGUUGAAAACACCAGUUCUCGUCCGAUCACUGAAGUUAAGCAACAUCG